GAAGAAGGAGAGGAGAUGCCAGAGAGCUGCCCAAGGAGCAACAUGUAAUGGGAUGCAGAUUGUUGACUUCAAACAGUCAUUGAGAAUACCACUCUGUGCUUUGCAGCAAUGUGGGAAUUAUUUGACCCUUCAUGGCUUGGUACAGCUCAUCUAAACGACCCACUGAAUCCUGAUGUCAGUACUCAUCAACAGCCGUGCUCCUUGAUCAGCUCUGACUCAACUGCAGAAUCUUCAAUUCAAUCCUCCCUGAAACCAAUGCGCUGUGACCAGAUGUUUCAAACUCUUCCUUCCAUCUUGACUUCCUGUCAUAGUGGACUGUGCCCUGGAACCGUGAGCAGAG